rnacentral:rRNA from 1 species
GACGAACCGUGCGAUCGUUAUUCGGAAUCACUGGGCUUAAAGCGUGUGUAGGCGGGCGGGCAAGUACCUUGUGAAAUCCCACGGCUCAACCGUGGAACGGCUGGGUAUACUGCCUGUCUUGAGCCAGCUAGGGGCGAGCGGAACAGACGGUGGAGCGGUGAAAUGCGUAGAUAUCGGCUGGAACGCCGAAGGUGAAAACAGCUCGCUGGGGCUGUGCUGACGCUGAGACACGAAAGCCAGGGGAGCGAACGGG